AUUGAACGCUGGCGGCAGGCCUAACACAUGCAAGUCGAGCGGUAGAGAGGUGCUUGCACCUCUUGAGAGCGGCGGACGGGUGAGUAAUGCCUAGGAAUCUGCCUGGUAGUGGGGGAUAACGCUCGGAAACGGACGCUAAUACCGCAUACGUCCUACGGGAGAAAGCAGGGGACCUUCGGGCCUUGCGCUAUCAGAUGAGCCUAGGUCGGAUUAGCUAGUUGGUGAGGUAAUGGCUCACCAAGGCGACGAUCCGUAACUGGUCUGAGAGGAUGAUCAGUCACACUGGAACUGAGACACGGUCCAGACUCCUACGAGAGGCAGCAGUGGGGAAUAUUGGACAACGGGCGAAAGCCUGAUCCAGCCAUGCCGCGUGUGUGAAGAAGGUCUUCGGAUUGUAAAGCACUUUAAGUUGGGAGGAAGGGUCGUUACCUAAUACGUGACGAUUUUGACGUUACCGACAGAAUAAGCACCGGCUAACUCUGUGCCAGCCGCCGCGGUAAAAC
rnacentral:rRNA from 1 species